rnacentral:rRNA from 1 species
AGAGACAGCAGUCGCCGCGGUAAUACGAAGGGUGCAAGCGUUAAUCGGAAUUACUGGGCGUAAAGCGUGCGUAGGCGGUGAGUUAAGUCUGCUGUGAAAUCCCCGGGCUCAACCUGGGAAUGGCAAUGGAUACUGGCAAGCUAGAGUGUGUCAGAGGAUGGUGGAAUUCCCGGUGUAGCGGUGAAAUGCGUAGAGAUCGGGAGGAACAUCAGUGGCGAAGGCGGCCAUCUGGGACAACACUGACGCUGAGGCACGAAAGCGUGGGGAGCAAACAGGAUUAGAUACCCCCGUAGUCCCUGUCUCUUAUAC